GUGUUCGCUUCGGCAGCACACAUACUAAAAUUGAAACAAUACAGAGAAGAUUAGCAUGACUGGCCCCUGCACAAGGAUGACAUGCAAAUUUGUGAAGUAUUCUACAUGGAA
ensembl:snRNA U6 U6 spliceosomal RNA